rnacentral:rRNA from 1 species
UCAGGACGAACGCUGGCGGCGUGCUUAACACAUGCAAGUCGAACGCUGAAGCUCCCAGCUUGCUGGGGGUGGAUGAGUGGCGAACGGGUGAGUAACACGUGAGUAACCUGCCCCGAACUCUGGGAUAAGCGCUGGAAACGGCGUCUAAUACUGGAUAUGUCCUAUCACCGCAUGGUGUGUAGGUGGAAAGAAUUUCGGUUCGGGAUGGACUCGCGGCCUAUCAGCUAGAUGGUGAGGUAAUGGCUCACCAUGGCGACGACGGGUAGCCGGCCUGAGAGGGUGACCGGCCACACUGGGACUGAGACACGGCCCAGACUCCUACGGGAGGCAGCAGUGGGGAAUAUUGCACAAUGGGCGCAAGCCUGAUGCAGCAACGCCGCGUGAGGGAUGACGGCCUUCGGGUUGUAAACCUCUUUUAGUAGGGAAGAAGCGAAAGUGACGGUACCUGCAGAAAAAGCACCGGCUAACUACGUGCCAGCAGCCGCGGUAAUACGUAGGGUGCAAGCGUUGUCCGGAAUUAUUGGGCGUAAAGAGCUCGUAGGCGGCUUGUCGCGUCUGCUGUGAAAACCAGAGGCUCAACCUCUGGCCUGCAGUGGGUACGGGCAAGCUAGAGUGCGGUAGGGGAGAUUGGAAUUCCUGGUGUAGCGGUGGAAUGCGCAGAUAUCAGGAGGAACACCGAUGGCGAAGGCAGAUCUCUGGGCCGUAACUGACGCUGAGGAGCGAAAGCAUGGGGAGCGAACAGGAUUAGAUACCCUGGUAGUCCAUGCCGUAAACGUUGGGAACUAGAUGUAGGGCCUGUUCCACGGGUUCUGUGUCGUAGCUAACGCAUUAAGUUCCCCGCCUGGGGAGUACGGCCGCAAGGCUAAAACUCAAAGGAAUUGACGGGGGCCCGCACAAGCGGCGGAGCAUGCGGAUUAAUUCGAUGCAACGCGAAGAACCUUACCAAGGCUUGACAUAUACGAGAACACUGUAGAGAUACAGGACUCUU